UGCUGACGAGCGGCGGACGGGUGAGUAACGCAUAGGAAUUUACCCGGUAGUGGGGGAUAACCUGGGGAAACUCAGGCUAAUACCGCAUACGUCCUACGGGAGAAAGGGGGCUUUGGCUCCCGCUAUCGGAUGAGCCUAUGCCGGAUUAGCUGGUUGGUGAGGUAAUGGCUCACCAAGGCGACGAUCCGUAGCUGGUCUGAGAGGAUGAUCAGCCACAUCGGGACUGAGACACGGCCCGAACUCCUACGGGAGGCAGCAGUGGGGAAUAUUGGACAAUGGGGGCAACCCUGAUCCAGCCAUGCCGCGUGUGUGAAGAAGGCCCUCGGGUUGUAAAGCACUUUCAGCGAGGAAGAACGCCUGGUGGUUAAUACCCGCCAGGAAAGACAUCACUCGCAGAAGAAGCACCGGCUAACUCCGUGCCAGCAGCCGCGGUAAUACGGAGGGUGCAAGCGUUAAUCGGAAUUACUGGGCGUAAAGCGCGCGUAGGUGGCUUGAUAAGCCGGUUGUGAAAGCCCCGGGCUCAACCUGGGAACGGCAUCCGGAACUAUGAGGCUAGAGUGCAGGAGAGGAAGGUAGAAUUCCCGGUGUAGCGGUGAAAUGCGUAGAGAUCGGGAGGAAUACCAGUGGCGAAGGCGGCCUUCUGGACUGACACUGACACUGAGGUGCGAAAGCGUGGGUAGCAAACAGGAUUAGAUACCCUGGUAGUCCACGCCGUAAACGAUGUCGACCAGCCGUUGGGUGCCUAGCGCACUUUGUGGCGAAGUUAACGCGAUAAGUCGACCGCCUGGGGAGUACGGCCG
rnacentral:rRNA from 1 species